AAUGGGCGAAAGCCUGAUCCAGCCACGCCGCGUGUGUGAUGAAGGCCUUCGGGUUGUAAAGCACUGUCGGGAGGGACGAAUAAAAUGACGGUACCUCGCAAGAAAGCACCGGCUAACUCCGUGCCAGCAGCCGCGGUAAUACGGAGGGUGCAAGCGUUGCUCGGAAUCACUGGGCGUAAAGCGGACGCAGGCGGAACGUUAAGUUGGAUGUGAAAGCCCCGGGCUCAACCUGGGAACUGCAUUCAAAACUGGCGUUCUUGAGUUCGAGAGAGGGUGGUGGAAUUCCUGGUGUAGAGGUGAAAUUCGUUGAUAUCAGGAGGAACACCGGCGGCGAAGGCGGCCACCUGGCUCGAUACUGACGCUCAUGUCCGAAAGCGUGGGGAGCAAACAGGAUU
rnacentral:rRNA from 1 species